GACCGCGUUCAUUUCAUCCCGGGCGUUCAUCAUGUUAUUGUGCAGAGUUACGUAUUUAACUCCAUGUUUUUGUGAAGUAUCAUACAGUUCCGAGCAUAUUCUAUUAUGUCAGAAGUGAAAGUGGCUUUUUGUUGUGUAAUUCGUGACGGCAAAUAUGAAGAAUUAUUAGCAAGCCGAGAAGAUUCCUUAUCCUGAGGGAGUUGCAUCUGACUUGGUCAGGUGACCGGAAAUACCAGGCUUGAAAAUUACAUUCGUUAUAGCCUAGGACCUAACUUGUUUUAGGCUAGAGGCUCUUGCACUGAUGUUACAGAAGAGCUGGAUUUGGAGAAAUGUUCCGAAAGCAUAGUCAAUGAAACUGGCCGGACAGGAGUCAAGAGCUUCAGCCCAACACCAAUCUUUCAAUCAUUGGUGUAGAUGAAAAAGGAGAGAUGUUCUUCACAUCAUAGUGAGUGAUGUGUCUGGUCUUGGCCUUCAUCUACAUGGAGGUAGUGAUAAUUAGAAAGAAGAGCCAGGAAUCUUUAUUGAUAAGAGUCAUGGAAGGAGUAAACUGCUGAAGGACUGGCUGAAGAGGAGUCAAAAUGGUCAGCUACCAUGUCCGUCCUAAGGCAGAGAAGCAGGAGAAGCUGGCGGAUGUUGCAGCCCAGAUGGCCUAGAACGUUGCAGAAGUACUCUCCCACAAUGCUGUCCUGGAGAGGAUUGAACUGGAAAGGCUUGCAGUUGUGAUCAGGUUUAACAGUCUGUACAUUGAGAUGGCAGUGUUAAAAGUCAAUCGACAUAAACUUAGAAGAUACUCUAUAGAAGAAAUCCCCAGAUGAAUGGGUACCAUGGUCUGCCUACCAUGCCAACAACCAGAAUGCAGUGAUUCCACCUGCCGCCAUUAAUUCACUCUUGCCUCUAUUUGUUGAUAGUGCACACUCGGUGGUGAUAAGACAUUCAAUGACCAUAGUCAAGGCUGCAAGUCAGCACCUCAACCCUGGACAAGUACCUAUACUUGGUGCUGAUCAGUGACUCCAAGCCCUUGGCAAGGAUUCCACCUGUCGCAAAUAAUGCACUCUUGCCUCUAUUUGUGGAUAGCGCACACUCAGUGGCGAUGGCCUCUAUUUGUGGAAAGCGGACCACAGUGUGAAUGAGAAAGAAGCACUUGCCCAGAACAUAGGACUGUCAGCUGCAAGAUUGAAGAGAGCUGGAAUUCAACAAAGAGAUUGCUGAUGUUGUUGGCAACAUGUUAGUUGCUGAUGUCCUUGUUGCAUACUAUCAUGCCCCCACCAGGUCAUACCAUGUGGGGCUUGACAACUCUUGGAUAGAAAAGUUAAGGAAUUGCAGAUAACAGUAACAGAUGACCUAACUCUUAUCAAGAUAUGGAUGUUUCCCCUAUCAAUCCAGCCUUC